ensembl:lncRNA
GGGGCCGUCUCAUUGUUCCGGUGUCCCAGGGGGUCGUCAUCAUCACAUGACCUUUUAGUUCUUCUUUGGUGGGAUGGCUUUGUGAGCGGAAGCCCUCCGAUCCAUUAUUGAUUCUCCUUUAGAGUUUCUGGGUCCACCGCCCCUCUCCUCACUCACAUAUCUACAUUGUCUCCAUCUGCAAGAUGCAAUCAUCUGUGACUGAAGGUCGCCCCCCCGCCCUAGGAGUCCCACCUCCAGCGAGGAUGAGAUGGCUCAGAGUCUCUCUGACUACUCCGAGGACUCCGCCUCCGACCGGGAGGAGACCGUCUACGAGACCAUAGGCCCCGCCCCCUCGGCCCCACCCUACAUGGAGGACGUGAGGACGCACUCCCUGGUGGUCCGCGUGCUCGUCCCCGACCUGCAGCAGACGUGCUCCUGGAGCUCCUCCUUCAGCCCCUCCUUCUCCUCGUUACCUGGCACCUGCUGUUGCCUUUAAAGCCUGGGAGGCUUCAUUCACUCGCUCUCUAGCCAGGGCCAGCAGCAUGGUCCUCAUUCACCAUUCUGUUUAACCUUUUGUAACAAUAAACCCGGUUUUUCAUAUAUUUA